AAGGCGCUGGCCGCGAACGGAAAAAGGAAAAGGCAGGACAAUUUAAUGCAAAGGAAAUUAUUGUGUUUUGUGAUAAAGAGUGUUUGAUGUGUUGUGACGUGAUUAACAAUGUGUGUUAGUAUCAAUGAAAAAAGUCAAAUUUGAAAAUAAAAUGUGAAAAGAACAAGAUCUGUUUUAAUUCUUCGGAAAUCCCUGAAAACAAAAAUAGCACAAAAAUCCCUCACCCCCAACGCCCCGUACUUUCAAAUCCACUAGAAAAUCAUGAGUUAAUAACAUUCCGAGAAGGUAGAACCUGCGUGCAUUUGUUGCAACAUUGACGUGAAUUUCUUGUGAUGUGGCGUAUGGUUGUAUUGGUUCGCUUGGAAAUUGAUGAAGCUUAGCCUCCUGAGUUUCACGUACACUGAAGAUAAAAAUUACGCCCAAAAUGUGUCGAUCCGACACAUCGAAUGUGUACACCGCGUUGUUUUUAAAUCGAUGUGUGGCUUUUACACAUCGCGAUGGCUUUGGCUCAAAAAUCCAUCCAAUGUGUAAACUUCUGUAGCGGCAAUUGCCCAAAAUUACCACCAGGUGCGCGCUUAACAAAUCUUCUGACCUGUCAAAGUGUUAGAAUAUUUUUGCAUCGUGUUUCGUUUUGUUUGGUCCGAUCGCAAGUAAGAAAAAUCCGCUUUAAUUUGCUUGACCGUUCCGUUCCGGUCCCCGGCCGGAUUUAUAUUAUUCGGUUAGGUGCUUCCGAGAGAGCCACCGAGAAUGCCGAGAACCGAUUACGGUUACUUGACAGCAAACCGGGGCACACUCAACCGAAUCUGUUUUUCGGCCGGCCCAGUUGAAGAACGUUUGUUCGCGUGCGGUUGCUGGUGGGUUGAAUCUAUCGGCGGGCGAUGAAGAUCCGGUGCAGCAGCAGCAGGUGCUAGAGCGCAUUCCGGUUGGGCGGGAUCCGAAGAAGGUGGAAAGUGGCGGUUCUUGAAACUUGCGGAGCUGGAGUUGGUAGAAGUUCACAGCAAGAAAACGAUUUCGGCGAUUCAUCGGGCGGAGUCAGGAGUUGAGAGAAACCGAACAAUGUUAUGAUUUUCUCAAUUCCAACAGUGCCAACCCGGUGUACUACGACCUGCUGCGGAGGUUCUGCCUGGGCCCUGUUUGGGCAGCGUCAUGCGGACGCGAAGAAAGCCGAACAGUGCGAGGUGACCUUCUUCAGGCGAACCUCGCUGACGGCGUACCAUGACAGGUUGGACGCGCGUGUUUCUAGGGGAGAAUUGAUCCCGGUGCUUCGGGUACUGACGACGACCGUUUAUUCGUAGUUCUAAACCGCGAAAAAGCCAUGAGCAAAAGGCCGAUCGCGCCUUUCCUGGGUUUAGGUUUCCCUCGGUUAUCGUUUCGCACUUCCGGCUGACAGCGGCUGGAUGUCCUUGGAUAACGCGGGUAAGCCAAAUACGAGGCAAAAAGCAGUCUUCAACAGUUCUGUUUGUGCAUCUGGAAAAAUUGAGCGAGGUCAAAAGGCCGGCGGGGCCACAGACGCAAGUUGUUUGGCCCAAAUGUUACGAAGUCGUCUUCAAAACGAGAUCCUCCAAGCGGCCGAAAGAGAAGCUACCCAAAACCGCUGAAGCAACAAUCCGUCCAGUUGUAGAAUUAAAAAAAAACGGACGUUGGCGACCAAUUUGUCCAAAUUCCCCGAGACGCUGGAAGCCGGGACAAAACAGCACACAAUCAAAGAGCAAAAGUGAAGGCUAACCGGAAGGUGAUAAGCCCAGGCACUUGAUCAUCCAGGUCGUCUCGUCGGUUCAUCCAACCUCGGCAACGGGAUCGCGCUGAACCUGACCGAUUGAAUCCCGCCAAUUAAAUCCCGAAGAAGAUAAACUACGACAACGAUUAACUAGGAAGAAUCCAUGUGAAGUGAAAACUGAAAAUAGUGAAAGAUUUAUUGUAUAAUUAGUAAAGUUUGUAAUAAAAAAAUCUUCAGUCUUGAAA
rnacentral:lncRNA from 1 species